GAUGAACGCUAGCGGCAGGCCUAACACAUGCAAGUCGAGGGGUAGCAGGAUUAAGCUUGCUUAAUUGCUGACGACCGGCGCACAGGUGCGUAACGCGUAUGCAACCUACCUUAUACUGGGGUAUAGCCCGGAGAAAUUCGGAUUAAUCCCCCAUAGUACUAAUGAAUCGCAUGGUUUAUUAGUUAAAGCAUUGCGGUAUAUGAUGGGCAUGCGUCCUAUUAGCUAGAUGGUGAGGUAACGGCUCACCAUGGCUACGAUAGGUAGGGGGCCUGAGAGGGUGGUCCCCCACACUGGUACUGAGACACGGACCAGACUCCUACGGGAGGCAGCAGUGAGGAAUAUUGGUCAAUGGGCGCAAGCCUGAACCAGCCAUGCCGCGUGCAGGAAGAAUGCCCUAUGGGUUGUAAACUGCUUUUAUUUGGGAAUAAACCUCUUUACGUGUAGAGAGCUGAAGGUACCAAAUGAAUAAGCACCGGCUAACUCCGUGCCAGCAGCCGCCGUAC
rnacentral:rRNA from 1 species